rnacentral:rRNA from 1 species
GUGGGGAAUUUUGGACAAUGGGCGCAAGCCUGAUCCAGCAAUGCCGCGUGCAGGAAGAAGGCCUUCGGGUUGUAAACUGCUUUUGUACGGAACGAAACGGUCCGGGUUAAUACCCUGGGCUAAUGACGGUACCGUAAGAAUAAGCACCGGCUAACUACGUGCCAGCAGCCGCGGUAAUACGUAGGGUGCAAGCGUUAAUCGGAAUUACUGGGCGUAAAGCGUGCGCAGGCGGUUUUGUAAGACAGGCGUGAAAUCCCCGGGCUCAACCUGGGAAUUGCGCUUGUGACUGCAAGGCUGGAGUGCGGAAGAGGGGGAUGGAAUUCCGCGUGUAGCAGUGAAAUGCGUAGAUAUGCGGAGGAACACCGAUGGCGAAGGCAAUCCCCUGGGCCUGCACUGACGCUCAUGCACGAAAGCGUGGGGAGCAAACAGGAUUAGAAACCCGAGUAGUCC